rnacentral:rRNA from 1 species
GACGGAGGAUGCAAGUGUUAUCCGGAAUCACUGGGCGUAAAGCGUCUGUAGGUGGUUUAAUAAGUCAACUGUUAAAUCUUGAGGCUCAACCUCAAAAUCGCAGUCGAAACUAUUAGGCUAGAGUAUAGUAGGGGUAAAGUGAAUUUCCAGUGGAGCGGUGAAAUGCGUAGAGAUUGGAAAGAACACCGAUGGCGAAGGCACUUUACUGGGCUAUUACUAACACUCAGAGACGAAAGCUAGGGUAGCAAACGGG